GAUGAAGAACGCAGCGAAAUGCGAUAAGUAAUGUGAAUUGCAGAAUUCAGUGAAUCAUCGAAUCUUUGAACGCACAUUGCGCCCGCCAGUAUUCUGGCGGGCAUGCCUGUUCGAGCGUCAUUUCAACCCUCAAGCCCCCGGGCUUGGUGUUGGGGAUCGGCGUGCCCUCGCGGCGCGCCGUCCCCUAAAUCUAGUGGCGGUCUCGCUGUAGCUUCCUCUGCGUAGUAGCAACACUCGCACUGGAUCGCAGCGCGGCCACGCCGUUAAACCCCCCACUUCUGAAAGUUUGACCUCGGAUCAGGUAGGACUACCCGCUGAACUUAAGCAUAUCAAUAAGCGGAGGA
rnacentral:misc_RNA from 1 species